rnacentral:rRNA from 1 species
UACGGGGGGGGCAAGCGUUGUUCGGAAUUACUGGGCGUAAAGGGCUCGUAGGCGGCCAACUAAGUCAGACGUGAAAUCCCUCGGCUUAACUGGGGAACUGCAUCUGAUACUGGAUGGCUUGAGUUCGGGAGAGGGAUGCGGAAUUCCAGGUGUAGCGGUGAAAUGCGUAGAUAUCUGGAGGAACACCGGUGGCGAAGGCGGCAUCCUGGACCGGCACUGACGCUGAGGAGCGAAAGCCAGGGGAGCAAACGGG